AUACUAAAUAUGUUGUUAAGAUAACCUAGUGAAGACGAGGUAAGCACUCGGCUAGGAAGUUGUGGUAAUAAAUCCUGUUAACUUAUGCUUAGGAUACUGAGUGUAGGUACUAUCUAGGGUUUAGGUAACUGAACUUUAGGGGGUUGGGAAGACCUUGGGUAAAGCAACUUGCGUAGGUUAUUUGCUAGUAAAAAGCAAGUGUAAACGGUGGUCACAUAAAUAGACGCUCUGGUAGAGAAUAAGCCUAUAAGGACUGGAUGUGGUGUCCUUUAUUCUGUAGGUACUAAACCAAGUAUGUGAUUGGGACCUGACGUUAUGGAAACAUGGCUAUAACACUAAAACAUUGUACGAGUAGCAUAAUGGCACUAUGGUUUAAAAGCGGUGGUGCUGGGUCUUUUUCUAAUUUGAUACUUAAUUAAUUAUAUUUGGGCAAUUAAAAUAUUAAAUCUGAAUGUUCGUGUGAAAGUUGGGGGUAAGCAAUCCCACCUAGCUCUUGAAUUGAAUAGGAAGUUUAGAGGUAGCUCCUUUAGGCUCAGACCUAUUUAAGCUAUGGCUGAAUAUUACAGCGAGUAAUUGUAGUAAGACGAAAGUCUAUUUUGACAACACAUAAUUA
rnacentral:sRNA from 12 species